GGGGUGGGCCAUGCACACUUUCGGGGCCCCUUCAGAAGUGAGGUCUUUAACUCAAAACCAGGGGAAGCCAUUGGAGGGUAUUUAAAUGUGCAAGGGGGUGGGGAGUCCCUUGAUCAGAUCUCUAUUGUUGGGACACUGCCUUGCAGAAGGAGGAGGCGCUGGAAGAGGGCCAGAAUGGAAGCAGGAAGACCUGUUGCGAGACUACUGCAGUGGCCCAGGAAACAGACGAUGAGAGCUUGGUCCAGGAUUCUGGCAGUAGGGGUGGGUGGACUUGAGAGCUGUGUAAAAGGUCACUAUGAUGGAGGAGGGAGCUUCAAAAGUGGAUAAAACAAAUACUUUUACUGCCUUCAAGAGCGAUGCCAAAAAGAAGUACCGCAAUGGCUGCAGGAACAAGGGUAAGACAGAGGCAGAGAAGGGCAAGUUCAACCCCUUCUGGCAAGAGGCUGCAGGCGGUUUGAGGAAACCAAGUCAUCACACAGCAAACAUUUAGAGGACCACAGGGCAGACUGUAUGCAGAGCUAUGAAGAUCCCACUUAAGGUGGCCAAAGACGUGUGGGGCCAAGAGGUGUGCACCCCAACAAUCUCAUCCUAGAUGGCCUCCUACGCUGGAAGGAAGAUGCCAGUCUCGCCUUGGAUACCUACAUGCUGAGAUGGCCUACUUUUAAAAGGAAUUAAAGUCCUGUUAAGAAACA